GUGAGUAACGCGUAGGUAACCUGCCUUGUAGCGGGGGAUAACUAUUGGAAACGAUAGCUAAUACCGCAUAACAAUGGAUGACACAUGUCAUUUAUUUGAAAGGGGCAAUUGCUCCACUACAAGAUGGACCUGCGUUGUAUUAGCUAGUAGGUGAGGUAACGGCUCACCUAGGCGACGAUACAUAGCCGACCUGAGAGGGUGAUCGGCCACACUGGGACUGAGACACGGCCCAGACUCCUACGGGAGGCAGCAGUAGGGAAUCUUCGGCAAUGGGGGCAACCCUGACCGAGCAACGCCGCGUGAGUGAAGAAGGUUUUCGGAUCGUAAAGCUCUGUUGUAAGUCAAGAACGAGUGUGAGAGUGGAAAGUUCACACUGUGACGGUAGCUUACCAGAAAGGGACGGCUAACUACGUGCCAGCAGCCGCGGUAAUACGUAGGUCCCGAGCGUUGUCCGGAUUUAUUGGGCGUAAAGCGAGCGCAGGCGGUUUGAUAAGUCUGAAGUUAAAGGCUGUGGCUCAACCAUAGUUCGCUUUGGAAACUGUCAAACUUGAGUGCAGAAGGGGAGAGUGGAAUUCCAUGUGUAGCGGUGAAAUGCGUAGAUAUAUGGAGGAACACCGGUGGCGAAAGCGGCUCUCUGGUCUGUAACUGACGCUGAGGCUCGAAAGCGUGGGGAGCGAACAGGAUUAGAUACCCUGGUAGUCCACGCCGUAAACGAUGAGUGCUAGGUGUUGGAUCCUUUCCGGGAUUCAGUGCCGCAGCUAACGCAUUAAGCACUCCGCCUGGGGAGUACGACCGCAAGGUUGAAACUCAAAGGAAUUGACGGGGGCCCGCACAAGCGGUGGAGCAUGUGGUUUAAUUCGAAGCAACGCGAAGAACCUUACCAGGUCUUGACAUCCCGAUGCUAUUUCUAGAGAUAGAAAGUUACUUCGGUACAUCGGUGACAGGUGGUGCAUGGUUGUCGUCAGCUCGUGUCGUGAGAUGUUGGGUUAAGUCCCGCAACGAGCGCAACCCCUAUUGUUAGUUGCCAUCAUUCAGUUGGGCACUCUAGCGAGACUGCCGGUAAUAAACCGGAGGAAGGUGGGGAUGACGUCAAAUCAUCAUGCCCCUUAUGACCUGGGCUACACACGUGCUACAAUGGUUGGUACAACGAGUUGCGAGUCGGUGACGGCAAGCUAAUCUCUUAAAGCCAAUCUCAGUUCGGAUUGUAGGCUGCAACUCGCCUACAUGAAGUCGGAAUCGCUAGUAAUCGCGGAUCAGCACGCCGCGGUGAAUACGUUCCCGGGCCUUGUACACACCGCCCGUCACACCACGAGAGUUUGUAACACCCGAAG
rnacentral:rRNA from 1 species